rnacentral:rRNA from 1 species
GAGUGAAAUAGAACCUGAAACCGUGUGCUUACAAGUAGUCAGAGCCCGUUAAUGGGUGAUGGCGUGCCUUUUGUAGAAUGAACCGGCGAGUUACGAUUUGAUGCAAGGUUAAGCAGUAAAUGUGGAGCCGUAGCGAAAGCGAGUCUGAAUAGGGCGUUUAGUAUUUGGUCGUAGACCCGAAACCAGGUGAUCUACCCUUGGUCAGGUUGAAGUUCAGGUAACACUGAAUGGAGGACCGAACCGACUUACGUUGAAAAGUGAGCGGAUGAACUGAGGGUAGCGGAGAAAUUCCAAUCGAACCUGGAGAUAGCUGGUUCUCUCCGAAAUAGCUUUAGGGCUAGCCUCAAGUGAUGAUUAUUGGAGGUAGAGCACUGUUUGGACGAGGGGCCCCUCUCGGGUUACCGAAUUCAGACAAACUCCGAAUGCCAAUUAAUUUAACUUGGGAGUCAGAACAUGGGUGAUAAGGUCCGUGUUCGAAAGGGAAACAGCCCAGACCACCAGCUAAGGUCCCAAAAUAUAUGUUAAGUGGAAAAGGAUGUGGCGUUGCCCAGACAACUAGGAUGUUGGCUUAGAAGCAGCCAUCAUUUAAAGAGUGCGUAAUAGCUCACUAGUCGAGUGACACUGCGCCGAAAAUGUACCGGGGCUAAACAUAUUACCGAAGCUGUGGAUUGUCCUUUGGACAAUGGUAGGAGAGCGUUCUAAGGGCGUUGAAGCAUGAUCGUAAGGACAUGUGGAGCGCUUAGAAGUGAGAAUGCCGGUGUGAGUAGCGAAAGACGGGUGAGAAUCCCGUCCACCGAUUGACUAAGGUUUCCAGAGGAAGGCUCGUCCGCUCUGGGUUAGUCGGGUCCUAAGCUGAGGCCGACAGGCGUAGGCGAUGGAUAACAGGUUGAUAUUCCUGUACCACCUAUAAUCGUUUUAAUCGAUGGGGGGACGCAGUAGGAUAGGCGAAGCGUGCGAUUGGAUUGCACGUCUAAGCAGUAAGGCUGAGUAUUAGGC